CGCAGUAGUGAUAGAACGUUGAAUGCACCAGUUCCCCAUUGAUCACUGAAGAUAAGCAACGUUUUGCGUGGUUGGCAUACGUGUGGGGUGACUACCUGGACAAUCGUAUGCUACUGGCU
rnacentral:rRNA from 1 species